UGGUUGACGCUGCUGUCGAAGUUGGAUGAUAUUGCUCACGGAGGAGGCUUCUGAGAAGGGCAUAAAUGGGUUUUAAAAAAGCAGUGAAUUGGAAUGGGAAUGGCAGAUAAAGAGAAACACAUUUUCUGCAUUUUCUAAUGAUUACUCACAUAGUUGAGCCUUGCACGUUAUAUUUAUUAGAACGACCACCCCCCAUUUAGUUUUCCUUUGAAGAGUCUUUCUUGUAAACCGUGGGUGCGUGUGUGUUUGCGUCCCGAUCUGCCAGGGCUGGGCGCCAAGUGCAAAGUGCGCAGCCGCGAAGUGGAGUCGGCGCCGGCGGGAGCGCGGGGCUCAGGGCCAGGGCCCGCCUCCAGGGGGCGGUGUGCGCCCCCGGCGCUGGAGCAGCCGCGUUUCGGGGACCCGGGCAGGCGUGGGGGGCUGCGCUGAGCUCCAGGCCUCCUGCAGCUGUGCCUUAACUUCCUCGAAAGACAACAUCAGUGCUGGCGGGCCUCAAGAAGAGCCAUCCCAAGGUAUUGACUAGGCAUCAGCGUCUUCACCAGGGCAACACAGAACAUCCCUGCAGAGUUCCUGGUGGCUGCAGUGGCUGGUAGGGGAUGUAUGCCUGCUUUCCAUCAGAUUCCCAAAGCGGAGCCCCUGGAGGCUUUGGCCCAUGGCCCUGAAGCUCCCUUUCACAAGGAAGAAAGACUUUGCAAAGCCAACACCACUAUUGGAGAGAAAGUGGAGAAUGUGUAUUAGAAGUACUAGUCUUUGAAGGCAAAACAGCUGUAUAGAGUGAGCUUAAGUGCUGGAUCCCUGUGGUUAGGAAGGGACACUAAGCCUCCGGGAUGUGAGAGUCCCAUGGAAGGCAGUAGGCCCAGGAUAAAGCAGGUGUCAGCUCAGAAAGCCCACCAUCACCCAGAAAAGGGAAGAAAUACGCUACCACCAUCACUCUUUCUGCCAAUGACUUCUUUGCACACCUCCACCCUAUCUCCUGGCUCAGUCUCCCAUGUUCUCAUAGCUAGGGAGGUCUCCAUUGUAAUUUGUAUGGGGAGGUUAACCUAUAGGCCAUUCUGAUGAUCCCAGCUCCCUUUCACUACAACCCCCGUCUGCAUCCUUUGCUUUGCAGUAGGAUUUGAGAGAGGAAGGAUGAAGAUGUAGCCACAGGAUACAUUUAAACAGGCACAGAGUUUGAGGGGUGGGGGGGAACAAAAGCAAAACAAUAAAACCUUCACCAGUCAUUAAAGAAAUGAAAAUGAACCUUUUGAGAUUGUCAAUUUUUAUCUGCUAAGUCAAGAAAAGCUAAUUUAAUUCCUGGCAAUUUCACAAUAAAAAAAAUUGUGCUAGCUCUUGGUGGCAUUGUAAGUAGUUAAAGGCUUUUUGGGAAGUAAUUUGAAAUACAUCAAGUCUUGAAAAUGAUUAUACCAGUGGAUCCAAUCAUCUCGCUGGUGGAAAUUCAUCUGAAGGAAAUGAUUCAGUGGAAAAAACAACCCGUCUACACUUGUUGCACCUAAAUGUCCAGGAAUAAGGGAAUGACAGAAGAAAUCUCAGCACAUUCUCUGAAUGGAACAGAAACCGAGCGUUUGGAACUAGAAUUGCGCAGACUGAAUUGAAUAUGGAAGUGGCUUUAAAUGGCAUGUUAGGUGGAAACACUGGAUGUCUGGUUGAAAUUUGGUAAGACACACAUUCCCAUGGUCAGAAUCGGAAAAUUUCAACAAAUGAAAAUCAUGGGGUUCACAAAGAGGUGUUGUGGGUUAUAGAAAGCUAUUUUCAAAAAUUUCUUUAAUGAUUCAAAAUUGUUUUUCAAAAAAAGUAGAAGAUUUAGAAACAUGUAUUUUAGGAAGUAUGGCCCAUGGUGUCUAUUGGAAAAAAAGUGGAAGACCUGAUGCAUUGCCCAAGGGGAACUUCUAGCUUAAGAUUACACUGAUGAGGACUGGGAAACACUCAGGCACUUUCAGGCACGCUGAGUAACAGGGGUGUCCUUUUACACAGAGACAAGGUGCUCUGUGGUCCACCCUUUACUUGGAUCCCCAGAUCAGCAUUCUCAUCAGGCAGAAGUAACCAGAGGAGGAAACAGCAUUUCUUCAAAGCUGAAGAGAGCUUUUUGGAGGGGAAAAUAAAAAAUCCUAGGAACUCCUUGCAUGACUGAUGGUUUGAACAAUGGCUUUGCACCCCAAGACCAGCCUGGCCUCGUGGUUGUAAAUCUGGGGGCCGUUGACAAACGGUUUCCCACCUUGGGACUUGAGUCUGCAGUUCAAGAGUCACGUGGGCCUGCCUGAGCCGCAGGGCUUGGCCCCUGUGCUGAGCACAGGCUUCUAGAAGAAGG
rnacentral:lncRNA from 10 species